UCCUUCUUGUUUAUCAAUCAUCCAUCGUCCAGGUUAUCUUGUAGUCUUCUCUGCUUAUAAUAUCACCUAAUGGUGUUACAAGUGCCAAAACGCGUUCGAAAACAAAAGAGAUUUGUUCCAUUUUUAGGUGUUAACUCGACCCAGCCUCCCUUUAAAUCUUUCUAAAUCUCUCUUCCCCCCCUCUCUCUCUCUCUGUUUCUUAAGAUAACUAAACCCGGUGACAGACCUCGAUUUUCGUGUCGUGUUGAGUUCGCAGAGCUCUCGCAGCCCAACCUCGGGGACUUCGCGUGCCUUCUCCUACUACCCUCACCGCGCAAUGUGCGAGCUCACGUUCGCGUGCAUAAGCACGCACGCACACACACACGCGCAUACGCGCGCGCAUACUGUUAUGUACAGUCACAUGAGUUGGCGUAAUUCGGUGGCGGUCAACUUGCGAAGACCAGUACUGUUCUUUGUAACCUUUGGAUAAUUCGCAUUGGACCAGAGGCAGUCAGUCAGUCAGUCGUUUCUGAACUAUUCACUGGCCGCUGCGUGAGACACAUACAACGUGAGCAGCCAUGAGAUGUGAUCCCCACAGCACGCACUCCCCCACCACCUCGUUUAUGGCGGUACUUCUUCACUCUUGGACGUGAACUUACUUAUUCGCCAUUAUCCGGAGCCGUCGCGUGUGGAACUGAUCAGUGACAACGCCGCCUUUCUUCUUAUUUCCUAUCUGGAGUAUUGCUGCGUGUGAAACGGGGCCGUUGUAACGUGUGGGCUUUCAGGCUCGCAUUCUUUCUUCUCUCUUGAGUGGGAGUUUUUUUGUGUUGUUGUUUUUUUUACUGUUGGGUUUUUUUUUUGUGGGUUUUUUUCCUUCUAGAUAAAUUGAUCUCCUCGGGCCUGUUGUCCCCAACCAACUAGCCGGGCAGCCAUAAAUAGCCGACCCUGCGUGUCGGCUGGGAUAAAGGAAAAUAACAUUCUCAUUUGACAGUGCGUCUGGAAAGAAAGAGAAGAAGAAAAAAUAGGCUGUUGUUGGUGAGGAAGAAAGAACAUUAAAG